rnacentral:rRNA from 1 species
AAUAUUGCACAAUGGAGGGAACUCUGAUGCAGCAACGCCGCGUGCGUGAAGAAGGUUUUCGGAUCGUACAACUCUGUCAUUGGGGAAGAAUAAAUGACGGUAUCCAAAGAGGAAGCCCCGGCUCUCUAUGUGUAAGCAGCGGCGGUAAUACACAGGUGGCAAGCGUUAUCCGGAAGUAUUGGGCGUAAAGCGCGCGUAGGCAGUUUCUUAAGUCUGAUGUGCAAGCCCACGGCUUAACCGUGGGAUUGCAUUUGAAACUGGAAGGCUUGAGUAUCGGAGAGGGUAGUGGAAUUCCCAGUGUAGCGGUGGAAUGCGUAGAUAUUGGGAGGAACACCAGUGGCGAAGGCGACUACCUGGACGAAAACUGACGCUGAGGCACGAAAGCGUGGGGAGCAAACA